UCCCCCGUGGCGCAAUGGUCACCGCGUCCGACUGUUACCGUUUGACGGCACAUCGGGAGAUUGGAAGUUCGAUCCUUCCCGGGGGAG
rnacentral:tRNA from 1 species